rnacentral:rRNA from 1 species
AUUGAACGCUGGCGGCAUGCCUUACACAUGCAAGUCGAACGGUAACAGGUCUUCGGAUGCUGACGAGUGGCGAACGGGUGAGUAAUACAUCGGAACGUGCCCGAUCGUGGGGGAUAACGCAGCGAAAGCUGUGCUAAUACCGCAUACGAUCUACGGAUGAAAGCGGGGGAUCGCAAGACCUCGCGCGGACGGAGCGGCCGAUGGCAGAUUAGGUAGUUGGUGGGAUAAAAGCUUACCAAGCCGACGAUCUGUAGCUGGUCUGAGAGGACGACCAGCCACACUGGGACUGAGACACGGCCCAGACUCCUACGGGAGGCAGCAGUGGGGAAUUUUGGACAAUGGGCGCAAGCCUGAUCCAGCCAUGCCGCGUGCAGGAUGAAGGCCUUCGGGUUGUAAACUGCUUUUGUACGGAACGAAAAAGCUCUCUCCAAUACAGGGGGUGAAUGACGGUACCGUAAGAAUAAGCACCGGCUAACUACGUG